CUCCCACAUCACCUGCACGUCCUCGUACGCGCACGUCUGGACGUCGUCGUGGAGCUUCACCAGCACGCUGUGGCCGCCGCCGCCGCCGUCUGAAUGCAUGGCAAGCAUAAGGGUUAGUUUCGUCAGCACAAAGCACAUAUCAUCAGCUGUUUUCUUCCGAAGAGGAAAAAUAGAAAUAAGAAAAGUGUGUUACUCCUACUUCUUAAGAAAAAAAAAUUAUUUUCUUUAACAACUGAAGCUAUGUUGUACACUAGCUAAUCCUCGUUUGUGUGAGCGUGACAGGGGAACGAAAGAUGCGAUUCUUCUGGCAGUGGCAGGGAGGCAGGGCAGCCCAUGCCCAUGCGUUCCUGCGACCGCCUGAGAGAUGGAUGCCAUGGCGCGGCUGCUGGGGCACGUGUUGUUCUUGGUUGCCUCCCGCUGUUUCGCUUCAGCCACUGCUCGUAGCAUCACCAGCAACAGCAACAGCCUCGAUGGGAGUCAGGGAUAGGACUGGUCACUAGUCACGGGGGUGGGGGACAACAAGCGUUCAGAGUACUGGUCAGAUUCUCUGUUUCAGUUUUCCGUUCCCCUGUUGCUGGCUUGUUGCUCGCUCUUUGUAAAAGCCAUUGUUAGCUUGAGUUUAUCAGAACUGCCAGUCAUUUAGUAAUGUUUUUUUCUCACGAUAAAUUAGCUAAUAGUGCUUUCUAUCAUGGCUUAUCA
rnacentral:lncRNA from 1 species